CUACUGGGGUAUCUAAUCCUGUUUGCUACCCACGCUUUCGCGCCUCAGCGUCAGUGUCAGUCCAGAAGGCCGCCUUCGCCACUGGUAUUCCUCCCGAUCUCUACGCAUUUCACCGCUACACCGGGAAUUCCACCUUCCUCUCCUGCACUCGAGCCUGCCAGUUCCGAAUGCCGUUCCCGGGUUGAGCCCGGGGCUUUCACAUCCGGCUUGGCAGGCCGCCUACGCGCCCUUUACGCCCAGUAAUUCCGAUUAACGCUUGCACCCUCCGUAUUACCGCGGCUGCUGGCAC
rnacentral:rRNA from 1 species